GACCCCGGCGCCAGGCCCAGCUCCAGGCCCGGGUCCUCCAGCUCCAGGCUCAGCUCUGGGCCCAGCUCCGGGCCCGGGUCCCUCAGCACCAGGCCCGGGUUCCCCAGCUCCAGGCCCAGCUCCAAUUCCAGGCCUCAGCCCCUGCUGCAGUUCCAGCCCCAGCUCCAGGCUCUAAGCCCAGUUCCAGCUUCAGCCCCCAGUCCCGACCCCAGCUCCAGCCCCAGACCCUGCUUCCAGGCCCAAUCCCAGCCUCAGCUCCAGCUCCAGGCCGUGCUGGUGACAACACUACACCCUGCACUUUGACUAAAAUUCAGCAAAAUGUGGUCUGUGUGUUUGCCUGGCCAUGACACAAUUGAAUUUGCUGCCUGUGCCUGCUGGGCCUACUCUUCUUCAGGACCACGAGAUCUUCACCAGCCACUACAAAUCCUCCAAGAUGUCCAUCAAAAGAUGUUCUGAAGACCUUGCCGUGGUCCAUUUCUCUUUGUUUGCCAUUGGCAUUGCCCAACAAACCCUUUUGACUGCCACCCAAAGACAAAACACCCUUAGGACUUGGUCCUAAUUAAUUUCUCUUUCACCUACAUGUGUGGGUGUCCGGCUUUCACUGGCGAGGCGGCUGCUUGCGUUCCUCCAGACACGUGAGAGCAGUGCCCAGGGAUUAUGUCACAGCCAUGGUGUGACCUCGCACGACAAUCCUUCCUACCAGAGCCAUUGAACUUCACAUUAACUCAGCCAAACAUGUGCCUGUUCAGUCUGUGAUCAUUGUGGCCUCGCUGGGUGAGGGGGUGGGUGCUUUGUUGACAUGAAAAUAACACAGUUCACUUGCAGCAGUCAAACUCAGU
rnacentral:lncRNA from 1 species